UACGGAGGGUGCGAGCGUUUGUCCGGAAUCACUGGGCGUAAAGGGCGCGUAGGCGGCGCGGAAAGUCAACGGUGAAAGCUCGGGGCUCAACCCCGAGUCGGCCGUCGAUACUUCUGUGCUCGAGCACUGUAGAGGCAGGUGGAAUUCCGGGUGUAGCGGUGGAAUGCGUAGAUAUCAUUUGGAACGCCAAUGGUGAAAACAGGUAGCUGGGAGUGUGCUGACGCUGAGACACGAAAGCCAGGGGAGCGAACGGG
rnacentral:rRNA from 1 species